rnacentral:lncRNA from 1 species
AGGAAUAAAAGUUUCGAGAUUCUGUUAUGAAUGUUGUGCCUUGCUCUUGAAUUGUUGCUCUUGGAUCUCUACCCGGAAAAGUAAAUCCCUCCUUUAACCAGCUAAUUACAGGAAGAGGAUCACCAGUGGCUUUACAUUUCAGUAACGCUGUACCAUCCACUGCCAGCGUUUGGUUGGCUGGGCCUUGUAGAAUUAUAGGUGG